rnacentral:lncRNA from 10 species
GCAUGUGCCACCACACCUGGCUAAUUUUUUGUAUUUUUAGUAGAGAGGAGGUUUCUCCAUGUUGGUCAGGCUGGCCUCAAACUCCUGACCUCAGGGGAUCCGCCCACCUCGGCCUCCCAAAGUGCUGGGAUUACCAGCAUGAGCCACCGCGCCCGGCCCAAUUUUUCUUAAUUUUAUUCAUCAAGUUGUUUCUGUUUUUGUUUUUUUUGAGAGGGACUCUCACUCUGUCACCCAGGUUGAAGUGAAGUGGCGUGAUCUCGGCUCACUGCAACCUCUGCCUCCCAGGUUCAUAUGAUUCUCCUGCCUCAGCCUCCUGAGUGGCUGGGACUACAAGCGCCCGCCACCAUGCCCAGCUAAUUUUUGUAUUUUUAGUAGAGACGGGGUUUCACCAUGUUGGCCAGGCUGGUCUCGAUCUCUUGACCUCGGGAUCUACCCGCCUCAGCCUCCCAAAGUGCUGGGAUUACAGGUGUGAGCCACCGCGCUUGGCCUUAUUCAUCAAGUUUUAUACACUUUAGACAAAGAGGGCUUGUAGUUACCAUGUGCUCUAUGGAUCUGUACUUUGUUAGAAAUACACAUUUUCAGGCAAAAACCCAGAUAUAUUGUAUCAAAAUCUGUAUUUCAAAUAUUUCCAGGUGAUUCACAUGCACAUUAAUAAUUGUUAACUGGUAGUAAUUCUGUAAUUGAAAGGGAAACGCUUAUACAGAUGUACUGAUUUGUCAGACAGGUACAGUAAUGACUGUAUGUUUCGAUGCAUAUACAUCUUAUCUUACAGAAAAUGAAAAUAAUAAAGUGGGGAUGGGGAAGGAGUUGAAGUAGAAAUUAAACAGAAAUGAGACAUAAUUAGCAGAUGUUCAGGUGGAGCAUCAGCCUAUUAUACUAUUUUGGUUACUGUGUAUAAGUUAAAAAUAUUCUCUAAUAAAACACUUGUAUAAAAAGACAAACAAUCUAUAACAUUGCCUCUUGGCUGGGCACGGUGGCUCACGCCUGUAAUCCCAGCACUUUGGGAGGCUGAGGCAGGUGGAUCACCUGAGGUCAGUUCAUGACCAGCCUGGCCAAUAUGGUGAAACCCCGUCUCUACUAAAAAUACAAAAAAAAUUUAGCUGGGCAUGGUGGUGAGUGCUUGUAAUCCCAGCUACUUGGGAGGCUGAGGCAGGAGAAUCCCUUGAACCCAGGAGGCAGAGGUUGCAGUGAGCCAAGAUCGCGCCACUGCACUCCAGCCUGGGUGACAGGGCAAGUCUCCAUCUCAAAAAAAAAAAGAAAAAAAAAUUAGCUCUUAAGAUUGUGGUUACAUUUGGGGAGGAGGAAAAAAGAAGAGGAAGUGGUUUGUGGGCAAAAACGGGUAGUUCUAGUCUAUAGCUACACAAAUGUAUUAGCUUUGUUAUAAUUUAUUGAGCAUUACAUUAAUCCUUUACUGUGGAUGUAUUUCUGUAUGCAUGUUAUACAUCAAUAAAAAUCGAAAUAUUACAUAUUUAAUCCUAACAUAAUAUUUCAGAAUAAUAGCAAUGUUCAUUUGUUUGUUUGUUUGAAAUGGAGUCUUGCUCUGUCGCCAGGCUGGAGUGCAGUGGCACGAUCUCAGCUCACUGCAACCUCAGCCUCCUGGAUUCAAGCGAUUCUCCUGCCUCAGCCUCCCGAGUAGCUGGGACUCCAGGGAUGUACCAGCACACUCAGCUGAUUUUUGUAUUUUUAGUAGAGACGGGGUUUCACCAUGUUGGUCAGUGUUAUGGGAAGUCAGGGGCCCCAAAUGGAGGGACCAGCUGAAGCCAUGGCAGAAGAACAUGGAUUGUGAAGAUUUUAUGGACAUUUAUUAGUUCCCUAAAUUAAUACUUUUGUAAUUUCUUAUGCCUGUCUUUACUGCAAUCUCUAAACAUAAAUUGUAAAGAUUUCAUGGACACUUAUCACUACCCCAAUCAAUACCCUUGUGACUUCCUAUGCCUGUCUUUACUUUAAUCUCUUAAUCCUGUCAGCUGAGGAGGAUGUAUAUCGCCUCAGGACCCUGUAAUAAUUGCAUUAACUGCACAAAUUGUACAGCAUGUGUGUUUGAGCAAUAUGAAAUGUGUGGCACCUUGAAAAAAGAACAGGAUAACAGCAGUUGUUCAGGGAAUAAGAGAGAUAACCUUAAACUCUGACCACCGGUGAGCCGGGCGGAACACAACCAUGUUUCUCUUCUUUCAAAAGCAAAUGGGAGAAAUAUCGCUGAAUUCUUUAUCUCAGCAAGGAACGUCCCUGAGAAGGAGAAUACACGCCUGGAGGUAUAGGCUUAUAAACAGCGCCCCCAGGCAUGGCCAUCUCUUAUGGUCGAGGCUGCAGAGAUGAAAUAGACUCCAGUCUCCCAUAGUGCUCCCAGGCUUAUUAGGAAGAGGAAAUUCCCACCUAAUAAAUUUUGGUCAGACCGGUUGAUCUCAAAACCCUGUCUCCUGAUAAGAUGUUAUCAAUGACAGUGGUGCCCGAAACUUCUUUAGCAAUUUUAAUUUCACCCUGGCCCUGUGGUCCUGUGAUCUCGCCCUGCCUCCACUUGCCUUGUGAUAUUCUAUUACCCUGUUAAGUACUUGAAGUCUGUCACCCACACCUAUUCGCACACUCCCUCCCCUUUUGAAAAUCUCGAAUAAAAACUUGCUGGUUUUUGCGGCUUGUGGGGCAUCACGGAACCUACUGACAUGUGAUGUCUCCCCCAGACACCCAGCUUUAAAAUUUCUCUCUUUUGUACUCUGUCCCUUUAUUUCUCAAGCCGGCCGACACUUAGGGAAAAUAGAAAAGAACCUAUGUGAAUAUCAGGGCAGAUUCCCCAAUAGGUCAGGAUGGUCAGUGAUCUGCCUGCCUCGGCCUCCCAAAUGGCUGGGAUUACAGGUGUGAGCUACCACGCCCAGCGAGUAUUGUUUUGCUUGAAAGGGAGCAUUUACACUCAGGCAUCAUGAGAUGGGUAUUAAUAUUCCAAGGUAUUUAUUCUUGCCCUGACCCUUGGGAGUCCCCCUUAGUCUUUCAUUUUUUACCUCAGUUGAGUAAAUAUCAUGGUUUCAGUUUUGGGGAAUGCAAUUUCUUACAGCAAAGUCCUUCCUCCACAAUAAUAUUCACCACGGUCAGGCCACCUAGCACAGUGGGCUUAGUAUGUGUGGAACUGGUUUGAAUCAGGAGCAAAACAAGCAGUAGAGGUGAGUAGAGAACACAGGCGGGACUGAAAGGCCACAACUCAACAGUGGUGAGUAGAGAACAAAGGCGGGACUGAAAGGCCGCAACUCAACAGCAAACACUUUUCACAUUAAUUUGAGAAAUAUUAUUUUCAACUGGUCCUCCGAAAGAUGUUGGUUUACAGCAGACAUUUGGGAGCAUGGUUGCAUAUUGUAAUCACCUGGAGAGCCUAAAAUCGCCAUUGCCUGGGUCUCACUCUAAAGAUUCUGGCUUAACUGGCGCACGCCUGUAAUCCCAGCACUUUGGGAGGCCGAGGCGGGCGGAUCAUGAGGUCAAGAGAUCGAGACCAUCCUGGCCAACAUGGGUGAAACCCCGUCUCUACUAAAAAUACAAAAACUAUCCAGGCGUGCUGGUGCGUGCCUAUAGUCCCAGCUACUUGGGAGGCUGAGGCAGGAGAAUUGCUUGAACCGAGGAGGUAGAGGUUGCAGUGAGCUGAGAUUGUGCCACUGCACUCCAGCCUGGCGACAGAGCGAGACUCCAUCUAAAAAAUAAAUAAAUAAAUAAAUAAAUAGAUAGAUUCUGGCUUAAUUAUUCCGUUGCAACUUAGAUUUGGGAACUUUAAAUACCACCACCCACAUGCACAGCAGGCUAUUCUAAUAUGCAUCCAAGGGUAAGAAGCAUUGAUUCAGGGUGAGAAAUGCAUUGGUUGAGUGUGAUUUCUUUUUUUUUUCUUUUCUUUUUUUUUUUUGAGACGGAGUCUCGCUCUGUCGCCCAGGCUGCAUGCAGUGGCGCGAUCUUGGCUCAUUGCAACUUCUGCCUCCUGGGUUCACGUGAUUCUCCUGCCUCCGCCUCCCGAGUAGCUGGGACUACAGGCGUCCGCCACCAUGUCCGGCUAAUUUUUUGUAUUUUUAGUAGAGACAGGGUUUCACCAUGUUAGCCAGCAUGGUCUUGAUCUCCUGACCUCAUGACCGCCCGCCUUGGCCUACCAAAGUGCUGGGAUUACAGGCAUGAGCCACCGCGCCCGGCCUUAGUUGUGUGUGAUUUCUAUGUGUGCUCUAGGCACUUGCCCUAUAGUUGCUCCUAAAUGUGGGGUCUUAGAAAACAUCUUGGCUCUUCAAAGCAUACUCUGCUGGUCGGCUAAAUUGCACUGGGAAAAAAAAGCAGCAGCCCUAUUGCUAUGUCAUUUGUCUACAGAGCAAAAGUUGAUUCAGGAACAGUAAUUUGACUUUGUCUAUAUUAAAAAUCAUAAAUAGUCAACAAAUACAAAAAAUACAAAGAGUUUGCAGAUAUGAUCAGUGCAUUAUAGGUGUUUUCAAAUUUCUCCUAUGAUAAAUUAAAAAUGUAAUGUUGGACAUUAAUUUCCUAAACCCAAUGCUCAGCAAUUUUCUCAAAUUGUUUCGCUUUUCCCAAGAGACUUCAGAACCAUUCCCUGGAGUGAAUUAUUUCCAAUGGUGAAGAGUAAUGGAUGGAUGGGAUGACAUUCUCAAAAAAAUCUUGCUCCUAUUUCAGAAGUGUCACUCCAGCCCCUUGAAGAAUUCUUCCAUCUCUAUGACAACAAGCCCAUUUUAACUUUCUGGAGAAUAAAGUAGCAUGCUGAGGAAAGCCAAAGUGCCUCAGUUUACAGACAGCUCACUCCCAGAAGCGGAGCCACCUAAUUCACCAGCAUCUGACCACUCACACCUGAAGGAGGCAAACUGAGCCCAGAAGAAUGGCCCAGCUAAGCCCAGCCUAAAUUUCUAACCAGCUCAAUCCUGAGCUAGUAUGUUUUGGGAUUGUUUGUUAUGCAGUUAUAGCUUAGUAAUAUAUACACCCAUUAAAGACAGGAUUCCAGGAUUCCAGGACAAAUUGAUUACAAAUGACCUGCAAAUGCUUGGCACCCUGUAAGUAUUGAUUUUCUUUUUUCCUUUAUUUAAAGUUAGAUUUGUUUUAAGAUGGUAUUGACUUAUACAGAAGUGAGGCAGGAGAAUAGGGUCUGGAGACAGGGAACUUAAGGCCAAUUCGUGCUGACUUCCUACAAGAAAAAACACCAAGGUCUGGGAGCAGGGAACCUAAAGCCAGUUAACGUGAACUUCCUACAACUAAACCAAAAGGAAAAACCUCAUCUACACCCGAGUAGCAAAGGAUCGAAGGCGACUGUCACUACAACCCUCCCCCUUGUACCAGUUCUCUGAUAGAAAAGGACAGUGCCUUGGAGUGGCCGUGGGCCAAGCACAGACCAUGCCUUCAUCUGCAUGGGGUACCAAUUCGCCUCAGCCUUUGAUUAGCCAAGGACAAAAUCCUUCAUUCAGAUAAGGGGUAGCUGAUAGGAACCUCAAAAGGAGUACUUAAAACCCAGAAAACAUUAUAACCAGGUCCUUGGGCUGCUUGCUGGGGCCCACACCCACCCUGUGGAGUGCUUUCUCACUUUAAUAAAUUCUUGCUUUUGCUGCUUCCUUCCCGUUUUUCAUUCCUUUGUGCUUUCUGUUCAAUUAUUUGUUCAAAAUAUCAAGGACCUGGACAACUCACACUCACGGUCUUCCUUCUGGGAACAGAAGUGCAGGUACAUGUGGAUGUAUGUGAUUGGUGCUUAAACUCACGCAGUGCCCCACACCACAGGAGAAAAACACACAGUUACAGCCUGACAGGUCCAAAGAUAAACAGCAAAACAAGAAGUUUGCCUUUAAUCUAUUCCCUCCACAUCUAAACUCUGGAGGGCAAGGCUGUGAGGAGAUCUGAAGACAUGGUGGUCUCUCUUCCUGUGGACCCAUCAUUCCUUGUUUACUGUAUGAUAUUUAAAAGAAAGAGGAAACCGGGCGCAGUAGCUCACACCUGUGAUCCCAGCACUUUGGGAGGCCGAGGCAGGCGGAUCACAAGGUGAAGAGAUUGAGACCAUCCUGGCCAACACUGUGAAACCGCAUCUCUACUAAAAAUACAAAAAUUAGCUGGGUGUGGUGGUACACACCCAUAAUCCCAGCUACUCAGGAGGCUGAGGCAGGAGAAUCACUUGAACACAGUAGGUGGAUGUUGCAGUGAGCCGAGAUCACGCCACUGCAUUCCGGCCUGGCAACAGAGCGAUACUCCAUCUCAAAAAAAAAUAAAAUAAAUAAAAUAAAAUAAAAGGAAGAGGAACCCCUGAGAGAGGAGGCAGUCAGAGGCUGGUUAGGAAGAUAGGGAGGGAGGGUCUCAGGAGAGGAAAAACACCCAAGGGACCACACCUGCACUACCCCAGUAGCUAGCGGGAAGAAAUGUGAUUAAGAACUUCCUCUUAUGCCAGGAUAUUGAUCAGAAGGGACUGUCGCAACUUAGGCCUAGGUGUAAUAAAUGAACCUAAAUGUCAUUAACUUGACCCAGCUCCUUAUAAUGUUACUGACCUAUGUAUUUUGGUUUUAGCUUCACCCUUUCCACCCGCCGUGGGUUUCCCUUGGGCACUCAUAGGUAAUAACCAAGAUGGAGUCACUGUGGUCAACCCCAGGCAUGCUCAGAUCCAACACCCUUAGGGGAGAAAUUGACCCCUCCCAUUUGGGCAGAACCCACAGAAGACUUCCUUAUUCUUGCCACAUAAAAGACCCAGAACUCAGCCCCACUUCUGGCAACCCGCUUUCAUGUCCCCUCUUACUGCUGAGAGGUUUCCUUUUGCUUAAUAAAUCCUACUCUGCUUUACUCACUCUCUGGUGUCUGUAUGUCUUAUUCUUCCUGGUCAUGGGAAGAGAGCCCAGACCUGGCUGAACUGAGACCACCACACCGGCACCAAACAGUGACUGGGAGACCAUGGUCUUCACGUGGACACUCUCAGCUUGCAGCCCCUGCUCUCUCUAGGGGCACUGUCCCACCCACCCUUGAGCCUGAGGAGAAAAGUUGGUAGAGAGGCUGUUCCCUCACUUCCAGCAGAAAAGACGUGUUCAGGCCCUCACUUUCUUGAGGUCAGAGCCCUCAUGGCUGCACUCAAUGUGGCAGCCACCUGACAUGUGUAGCUACUGGGGAGGAAUGUAGCUGGUUUGAAGUAAAAUGUGCUGCAAAUGUAAAAUAGUGAGUUUAGAAGAAUCAGAUCAGAAAUAUACCUUAUUUCUAAUUAUAUAUUGAUCACGUAUUAAAACAAUAAUAUUUUGGGUUUUUAAAUUUAAUUGUAUUUAUUUAUUGAGACAGAGUCUUGCUCUGUCGCCAGGUUGGAGUGCAGCAGUGUGACCUCGGCUCACUGCAACCUCUGCCUCCAGGAUUCAAGCAAUUCUCCUGCCUCAGCCUCCCAAGUGGCUGGGACUACAGGCACAUGCCACCAUGCCUGGCUAAUUUUUUGUAUUUUAGUAGAGAUGAGGUUUCACCAUGUUGGCCAGGAUGGUUUAGAUCCCCUGACCUCGUGAUCCACCCACCUCAACCUCCCAAAGUGCUGGGAUUACAAGAGUGAGACACCGUGCCCGGCCAACAUUUUGG